UGAGGAAUAUUGCGCAAUGGGGGAAACCCUGACGCAGCCAUGCCGCGUGAGUGAAGAAGGCCUUAGGGUUGUAAAGCUCUUUCAGAUGCGAAGAUAAUGACGGUAACAUCAGAAGAAGCCCCGGCUAAAUUCGUGCCAGCAGCCGCGGUAAUACGAAUGGGGCAAGCGUUGUUCGGAAUCACUGGGCUUAAAGCGUGCGUAGGCGGACUCGCAAGUCAGGAGUGAAAUCCCGGGGCUCAACCCCGGAACUGCUCUUGAAACUGCAAGUCUAGAAUCCGGGAGAGGUCAGGAGAAUUCCAAGUGUAGAGGUGAAAUUCGCAGAUAUUUGGAGGAAUACCAGUGGCGUAGGCGCCUGACUGGACCGGUAUUGACGCUCAGGCACGAAAGCGUGGGGAGCAAACAGGAUUAGAUACCCCCGUAGUCC
rnacentral:rRNA from 1 species